rnacentral:rRNA from 1 species
GCAUGUCUAAGUAUAAGCAACUUGUACUGUGAAACUGCGAAUGGCUCAUUAAAUCAGUUAUCGUUUAUUUGAUAGUACCUUACUACAUGGAUACCUGUGGUAAUUCUAGAGCUAAUACAUGCUAAAAACCCCGACUUCAGGAAGGGGUGUAUUUAUUAGAUAAAAAACCAACGCCCUUCGGGGCUCCUUGGUGAAUCAUAAUAACUUAACGAAUCGCAUGGCCUUGCGCCGGCGAUGGUUCAUUCAAAUUUCUGCCCUAUCAACUUUCGAUGGUAGGAUAGUGGCCUACCAUGGUGGCAACGGGUAACGGGGAAUUAGGGUUCGAUUCCGGAGAGGGAGCCUGAGAAACGGCUACCACAUCCAAGGAAGGCAGCAGGCGCGCAAAUUACCCAAUCCCGAUACGGGGAGGUAGUGACAAUAAAUACUGAUACGGGGCUCUUUUGGGUCUCGUAAUUGGAAUGAGAACAAUUUAAAUCCCUUAACGAGGAACAAUUGGAGGGCAAGUCUGGUGCCAGCAGCCGCGGUAAUUCCAGCUCCAAUAGCGUAUAUUAAAGUUGUUGCAGUUAAAAAGCUCGUAGUUGAACCUUGGGUCUGGCUGGCCGGUCCGCCUCACCGCGAGUACUGGUCCGGCUGGACCUUUCCUUCUGGGGAACCUCAUGGCCUUCACUGGCUGUGGGGGGAACCAGGACUUUUACUGUGAAAAAAUUAGAGUGUUCAAAGCAGGCCUUUGCUCGAAUACAUUAGCAUGGAAUAAUAGAAUAGGACGUGUGGUUCUAUUUUGUUGGUUUCUAGGACCGCCGUAAUGAUUAAUAGGGAUAGUCGGGGGCGUCAGUAUUCAGCUGUCAGAGGUGAAAUUCUUGGAUUUGCUGAAGACUAACUACUGCGAAAGCAUUCGCCAAGGAUGUUUUCAUUAAUCAGGGAACGAAAGUUAGGGGAUCGAAGACGAUCAGAUACCGUCGUAGUCUNNACCAUAAACUAUGCCGACUAGGGAUCGGACGGGAUUCUAUAAUGACCCGUUCGGCACCUUACGAGAAAUNNAANUUUUUGGGUUCUGGGGGGAGUNUNGNCG